rnacentral:lncRNA from 12 species
AUGGAUUUGGGUUAUGGGAUAUGGGUUUGGGCUAUGGGUUCUGAGUUAUUGGUUCUGGGUUGUGGGUUUGGGUUAUGGAUUUGGGUUCUGGGUUCUGGGUUAGGGUUUGGGUUAUGGGUUAUGGGUUAUGGGUUAUGGGUUUGGGUUUGGGUUACAGGUUUGGGUUAUGGGUUUGGGUUAUGGAUUAUGGUUAUGGGUUAUGGUUUGGGCUAUGGAUUUUGGGUUAUGGGUUAUGGGUUUGGUUUAUGGGUUAUGGGUUUGAAUUAUGGGUUCUGGGUUCUGGGCUGCAGGGACUCGGUGCCAGCCUCACCCUGCCCGGUACCCGCUGCCGGGCCGGCUCCAGGUGUCUGCAGAGCCGCGGGCUGCACCCCCACGGGAAGCGCGGGGUUUCCGAAAAAGCGGCUGACAGAAAGCAGGAGGCACCGGGAAUUCCUCGGGUUAGUGGGAGAGGCGCGGGGCGGCAGGAAAAGCUGCAGGAGGAGACGGGAUCUGCUGCAAACGGAACAGGAAAGCAGCGAAUCCCUCGCUGUGCCCACGGGAAAGCGGAGGGAGCGCCCGGAGCAGCUUUUCCUGCAGGAUGAUCACGGAUUCACGGACCCGGGGAACGGUUGGGUGGGAAGGGACAGUAAAGCUCAUCCUGUCCCACCCCUGCCAUGGCAGGGACACCUUCCCCUACCCCAGGGUGAUCCAAACGCCAGUGUCCAGCCUGGCUUUGGGCACUGCCAGGGAUCCAGGGGCAGCCACAGCUCUGGGCACCUGUGCCAGAGCCUGCCCACCCUGCCAGGAACAAUUCCUCCCUGAUACCCAAUUAAAAUGCAACCAAAAUCCAUCCAAACGCCAGUGCCCAGCCUGGCUUUGGGCACUGCCAGGGAUCCAGGGGCAGCCACAGCUUUGGGCACCUGUGCCAGGGCCUGCCCACCCUGCCAGGAACAAUUCCUCCCUGAUACCCAAUUAAAAUGCAACCAAAAUCCAAUCGAAAUCCAAUCGAAAUCCCAUAGAAGCCAAAUCGAUGUCCAAUCGUAGUCCAAUGAAAAUCCAACCUGAAUCCAACUGAAAUCCAACCAGAAUCCAACCGAAAUCCAAAAUCCAACCUAAAUCCAAAUUAAAUCCAAACUAAAUCCAACCUCAAUCCAAUCAAAAUCCCACCGGAAUCCAACCAAAAUCCAAUUGAAAUCCAAUCAAAACCCAACCGAAACCCAACCGAAACCCAACCGAAACCCAACGGAAAUCCACUCUCUUGCAGCACAGAGCCGUCCCACCUUGUCCCCUGUCACUGCCUGCCCUUGUGUCCCUGCUCUGGGGACCCACGGGGGUGGCACAGCCCUGCAGCGCUGCCCUCGAGGGUGGGACGCGGGGCCAGCCUGACCUGGGACCCCCCCGGGACCACCCGAGACCCCCCUGGGACCCCCCCGGCACCCCGGGGGGGGGGGGGGGGGGGGGGGGGGGGGGGGGGGGGGGGGGGGGGGGGGGGGGGGGGGGGGGGGGGGGGGGGGGGGGGGGGGGGG